rnacentral:rRNA from 1 species
AUUGAACGCUGGCGGCAUGCUUUACACAUGCAAGUCGAACGGUAACAGGCCGCAAGGUGCUGACGAGUGGCGAACGGGUGAGUAAUGCAUCGGAACGUGCCCAGUCGUGGGGGAUAACGCAGCGAAAGCUGCGCUAAUACCGCAUACGAUCUAUGGAUGAAAGCGGGGGACCGUAAGGCCUCGCGCGAUUGGAGCGGCCGACGUCAGAUUAGGUAGUUGGUGGGGUAAAGGCUCACCAAGCCAACGAUCUGUAGCUGGUCUGAGAGUACGACCAGCCACACUGGGACUGAGACACGGCCCAGACUCCUACGGGAGGCAGCAGUGGGGAAUUUUGGACAAUGGGCGCAAGCCUGAUCCAGCAAUGCCGCGUGCAGGAAGAAGGCCUUCGGGUUGUAAACUGCUUUUGUACGGAACGAAACGGUCCUGGUUAAUACCUGGGGCUAAUGACGGUACCGUAAGAAUAAGCACCGGCUAACUACGUGCCAGCAGCCGCCGCAGUAA